GGGGGGGGGGGGGGGGGGGGGGGGGGGGGGGGGGGGGGGGGGGGGGGCCGGCGUUGGUGGGGGGCGCGGGUGGCGGACGGGUGAGUAAGACGUGAGUGACCCGCCCGUGACUGUGGGAUGACUUCAGGAGACUGGGGCUAAUGCCGGCUAGGAUCUCCUGCGGCGUGGGGGGGGUGGGAAAGUGUCGGAGGUUGGGGAUGGACUCGCGGCUUAUCAGCUUGUUGGUGGGGUAGUGGCUUACCAAGGCUUUGACUGGUAGCCGGCCUGAGAGGGUGACCGGCCACAGUGGGACUGAGAUACGGCCCAGACUCAUCAGGGAGGCAGCAGUGGGGAAUAUGGCACAAUGGGCGGAAGCCAGAUGCAGCAACGCCGCGCGCCGGAUGACGGCCUUCGGGUUGUAAACCGCUUUCGCCUGUGACGAAGCGUGAGUGACGGUAAUGGGUAAAGAAGCAACGGCUAACUCCGUG
rnacentral:rRNA from 1 species